rnacentral:rRNA from 1 species
AUACGAAGUCGGACCUGCCCAGUGAAUUUUAAACGGCCGCGGUACUCUGACCGUGCAAAGGUAGCAUAAUCAUUUGCCUUAUAAUUGAAGGCUGGAAUGAAUGGUUUGACAAGAACAUAACUGUCUCUUUAAAACUCUUUAGAAUUUUAUUUCUAAAUGAAGAAGCUUAGAUAUAAUUAAAAGACGAGAAGACCCUAUCGAGCUUUAGAAAAAUUAAUAAACCUAGUAAUUAAAAAGGAUUAUUAGACACUUUAAUUGGGGCAAUUGAGGAGAAAACAAAGCCUCCUUUAAAUAUAUAAAUCCUACUCGUAUUGAGCCAAAAUUUUUGAUUAAAGAAAUUAGUUACCGUAGGGAUAACAGCAUUAUCUCUUUUAAGAGUUCAUAUCGAAAAGGGGGUUUGUGACCUCGAUGUUGGACCAGAAUAUCCUGAAGAUGUAGAAGUCUUUAAGGGUUGGUCUGUUCGACCAU